UGCGAAGGGGGCUAGCGUUGCUCGGAAUCACUGGGCGUAAAGGGCGCGUAGGCGGCGUUUUAAGUCGGGGGUGAAAGCCUGUGGCUCAACCACAGAAUGGCCCUCGAUACUGGGACGCUUGAGUAUGGUAGAGGUUGGUGGAACUGCGAGUGUAGAGGUGAAAUUCGUAGAUAUUCGCAAGAACACCGGUGGCGAAGGCGGCCAACUGGACCAUUACUGACGCUGAGGAGCGAAAGCGUGGGGAGCGAACAGG
rnacentral:rRNA from 1 species